GACGAACGCUGGCGGCGUGCUUAACACAUGCAAGUCGAACGCUGAAGCUUGGUGCUUGCACUGGGUGGAUGAGUGGCGAACGGGUGAGUAAUACGUGAGUAACCUGCCCUUGACUCUGGGAUAAGCCUGGGAAACUGGGUCUAAUACUGGAUACGACAUGCCACUGCAUGGUGGUGUGUGGAAAGGGUUUUACUGGUUUUGGAUGGGCUCACGGCCUAUCAGCUUGUUGGUGGGGUAAUGGCCUACCAAGGCGACGACGGGUAGCCGGCCUGAGAGGGUGACCGGCACACCGGGGACGGGGACACGGCCCAGCCUCCUACGGGGGGGAGAGGGGGGGAAUUUGGCACAAGGGGGGGAGGCCGAAGGCAGGGACGCCGGGGGGGGGAGGAGGGCCUUGGGGUGGUAACCCUUUUCCAGCACGGAAGAGGGGGGGGGGGCGGUACGGGAAAAAGAAGCCCCGGCUAACUACGU
rnacentral:rRNA from 1 species